GGGGCGUAUUCGGGAUUACUGGGGCGUAAAGCGUGCGCAGGCGGUUACUUAAGUCAGGUGUGAAAGCCCUGGGCUUAACCUAGGAAUUGCGCUUGAGACUGGGUAGCUUUUGAGUGCGGCAGAGGGAGGUGGAAUUCCACGUGUAGCAGUGAAAUGCGUAGAGAUGUGGAGGAACACCGAUGGCGAAGGCAGCCUCCUGGGCCAGCACUGACGCUCAUGCACGAAAGCGUGGGGAGCAAACAGGAUUAGAUACCCUGGUAGUCCACGCCCUAAACGAUGUCAACUGGUUGUUGGUGGGGUUAAACCCAUUAGUAACGAAGCUAACGCGUGAAGUUGACCGCCUGGGGAGUACGGCCGCAAGGUUAAAACUCAAAGGAAUUGACGGGGACCCGCACAAGCGGUGGAUGAUGUGGAUCAAUUCGAUGCAACGCGAAGAACCUUACCUACCCUUGACAUGUGAGGAAGCCCGCUGAGAGGCGGGUGUGCCCGAAAGGGAGCCUCAACACAGGUGCUGCAUGGCUGUCGUCAGCUCGUGUCGUGAGAUGUUGGGUUAAGUCCCGCAACGAGCGCAACCCUUGUCACUAGUUGCUACGCAAGGGCACUCUAGUGAGACUGCCGGUGACAAACCGGAGGAAGGUGGGGAUGACGUCAAGUCCUCAUGGCCCUUAUGGGUAGGGCUUCACACGUCAUACAAUGGCGCAUACAAAGGGCUGCCAACCCGCGAGGGGGAGCCAAUCCCAGAAAGUGCGUCGUAGUCCGGAUUGCAGUCUGCAACUCGACUGCAUGAAGUCGGAAUCGCUAGUAAUCGCGGAUCAGCAAUGUCGCGGUGAAUACGUUCCCGGGUCUUGUACACACCGCCCGUCACACCAUGGGAGUGGGUUCCACCAGAAGCCGGUUGCCUAACCGCAAGGGGGGCGCCGACCACGGUGAGAUUCAUGACUGGGGUGAAGUCGUAACAAGGGUAACC
rnacentral:rRNA from 1 species